rnacentral:rRNA from 1 species
AACGAACGCUGGCGGCAUGCCUAACACAUGCAAGUCGAACGAGACCUUCGGGUCUAGUGGCGCACGGGUGCGUACCGCGUGGGAACCUGCCCUUAGGUUCGGAAUAACUCCCCGAAAGGGGUGCUAAUACCGGAUAAUGUCUUCGGACCAAAGAUUUAUUGCCUUUGGAUGGGCCCGCGUUGGAUUCGCUAGUUGGUAGGGUAAUAGCCUACCAAGGCGAGGAUCCAUAGCUGGUCUGAGAGGAUGAUCAGCCACACUGGGACUGAGACACGGCCCAGACUCCUACGGAAGGCAGCAGUGGGGAAUAUUGGACAAUGGGCGAAGGCCUGAUCCAGCAAUGCCGCGUAAGUGAUGAAGGCCGUAGGGUUGUAAAGCUCUUUUACCCGGGAUGAUAAUGACAGUACCGGGUGAAUAAGCUCCGGCUAACUCCGUG